rnacentral:rRNA from 1 species
UACAGAGGUGGCAAGCGUUGUUCGGAAUUACUGGGCGUAAAGGGCGCGUAGGCGGCCUUCUAAGUCAGACGUGAAAUCCCCAGGCUUAACCGGGGAACUGCGUCUGAUACUGGAUGGCUUGAAUCCGGGAGAGGGAUGCGGAAUUCCAGGUGUAGCGGUGAAAUGCGUAGAUAUCUGGAGGAACACCGGUGGCGAAGGCGGCAUCCUGGACCGGCAUUGACGCUGAGGAGCGAAAGCCAGGGGAGCAAACGGG